rnacentral:rRNA from 1 species
UUAGGAAUUUUGGGCAAUGGGCGCAAGCCUGACCCAGCAACGCCGCGUGGGUGAUGACGGCCUUCGGGUUGUAAAGCCCUUUUCCGAGGGACGAUGAUGACGGUACCUCGGGAAUAAGCCCCGGCUAACUACGUGCCAGCAGCCGCGGUAAUACGUAGGGGGCAAGCGUUGUCCGGAUUUAUUGGGCGUAAAGCGCUCGCAGGCGGUCCGAUGCGUCAUGCGUGAAAGCCCCCGGCUCAACUGGGGAGUGUCGUGUGAUACGGUCGGACUUGAGGCCAGUAGGGGGACGUGGAAUUCCGGGUGUAGUGGUGGAAUGCGUAGAGAUCCGGAGGAACACCAGCGGCGAAGGCGACGUCCUGGACUGGUACUGACGCUCAGGAGCGAAAGCGUGGGGAGCGAUCCG